GACGAACGCUGGCGGCGUGCCUAAUACAUGCAAGUAGAACGCUGAAGGAGGAGCUUGCUUCUCUGGAUGAGUUGCGAACGGGUGAGUAACGCGUAGGUAACCUGCCUGGUAGUGGGGGAUAACUAUUGGAAACGAUAGCUAAUACCGCAUAAUAGCAGUUGUUGCAUGAUAACUGUUUGAAAGGUGCAAUUGCACCGCUACCAGAUGGACCUGCGUUGUAUUAGCUAGUUGGUGGGGUAACGGCUCACCAAGGCGACGAUACAUAGCCGACCUGAGAGGGGGAUCGGCCACACUGGGACUGAGACACGGCCCAGACUCCUACGGGAGGCAGCAGUAGGGAAUCUUCGGCAAUAGACGGAAGUCUGACCGAGCAACGCCGCGUGAGUGAAGAAGGUUUUCGGAUCGUAAAGCUCUGUUGUAAGAGAAGAACGAGUGUGAGAGUGGAAAGUUCACACUGUGACGGUAUCUUACCAGAAAGGGACGGCUAACUACGUG
rnacentral:rRNA from 1 species